UCCCUCUUAGCGUAAUGGUUAUCGCGUUUGGCUACGAACCAAAAGGUUGCAGGUUCGAGUCCUGCAGGGGGAG
rnacentral:tRNA from 1 species